GACGAACGCUGGCGGCGUGCUUAACACAUGCAAGUCGAACGGAAAGGCCCUGCUUUUGUGGGGUGCUCGAGUGGCGAACGGGUGAGUAACACGUGAGUAACCUGCCCUUGACUUUGGGAUAACUUCAGGAAACUGGGGCUAAUACCGGAUAGGAGCUCCUGCUGCAUGGUGGGGGUUGGAAAGUUUCGGCGGUUGGGGAUGGACUCGCGGCUUAUCAGCUUGUUGGUGGGGUAGUGGCUUACCAAGGCUUUGACGGGUAGCCGGCCUGAGAGGGUGACCGGCCACAUUGGGACUGAGAUACGGCCCAGACUCCCACGGGAGGCAACAGUGGGGAAUAUUGCACAAUGGGCGGAAGCCUGAUGCAGCAACGCCGCGUGCGGGAUGACGGCCUUCGGGUUGUAAACCGCUUUCGCCUGUGACGAAGCGUGAGUGACGGUAAUGGGUAAAGAAGCACCGGCUAACUACGU
rnacentral:rRNA from 1 species